UACGGGGGGAGCAAGCGUUGUUCGGAUUUACUGGGCGUAAAGGGCGCGUAGGCGGUCCUUCAAGUCAGGCGUGAAAGCCCCGGGCUCAACCUCAGAACUGCCUUCGAUACUGGCAAUCUCGAGUCCGGAAGAGGUUGGUGGAACAGCUAGUGUAGAGGUGAAAUUCGUAGAUAUUAGCUAGAACACCAGUGGCGAAGGCGGCCAACUGGUCCGGUACUGACGCUGAGGUGCGAAAGCGUGGGGAGCAAACAGG
rnacentral:rRNA from 1 species